CUCCUACGGGAGGCUGCAGUGGGGAAUUUUGGACAAUGGGGGCAACCCUGAUCCAGCCAUGCCGCGUGAGUGAAGAAGGCCUUCGGGUUGUAAAGCUCUUUCGGCCGGGAAGAAAUCGUGCGGGCUAAUACCCUGUAUGGAUGACGGUACCGGAAGAAGAAGCACCGGCUAACUACGUGCCAGCAGCCGCGGUAAUACGUAGGGUGCGAGCGUUAAUCGGAAUUACUGGGCGUAAAGCGUGCGCAGGCGGUUUCGUAAGACAGAUGUGAAAUCCCCGGGCUUAACCUGGGAACUGCGUUUGUGACUGCGAGACUUGAGUGCGGCAGAGGGGGGUGGAAUUCCACGUGUAGCAGUGAAAUGCGUAGAGAUGUGGAGGAACACCGAUGGCGAAGGCAGCCCCCUGGGUCGACACUGACGCUCAUGCACGAAAGCGUGGGGAGCAAACAGGAUUAGAUACCCUGGUAGUCCACGCCCUAAACGAUGCGAACUAGGUGUUGGGGAAGGAGACUUCUUUAGUACCGUAGCUAACGCGUGAA
rnacentral:rRNA from 1 species